rnacentral:rRNA from 1 species
GUUUAGGGGUAAACCUGAGAAACCCGAAAUGUCGAAAAGGGAAAUUCAUUCGUGCGAUAUGAUAGACGUAUAUUUUAAGUCGUGGACGUAAAAUAGGGAAAUGAAAAUUUUCUUAUUAACGACGCCAUCUUUCUAAAUACGAUUCUAUUAUGAACGCGUGCACUUUUCCCUUUGUAGGACGUCGCGAUCCGUUGAUAAAAAUCGUACGAUUUAUAGCGUAAAGUUAAGUCCAUUUAUGCGUUAUUAUAAUUUAUUAUUUUAACGAUUUAAUGAAUGGUGCUUUACGUAUUAAUCGACCUAGUCGACGGUAUGAUAAAUUUGGGUAUGAAGUCGCCUUAUACGGGCGUUGAAGUCGUAACAAAUGUUGCAUUAGUGAAACCGUAAUCGAAUAUUAAUCGAUUCGGUGCUUUUGUAAUAUUGUUAGUUGCGAACAUGAACUUUCAACAGACUUCUUAUUACCAAUCGGCGACGCUAUAGCUUUGGGUAAUUUCAGGACCCGUCUUGAAACACGGACCAAGGAGUCUAGCAUGUACGCGAGUUAUUGGGAUCGAUAAUCGAAAACCUAAAGGCGCAAUGAAAGUAAAUAUGGAUUCGAUAAUGAUUAUUUUUUAAUAAUGAUAACGAGUUUAUAUAGGGAAGAUGAAUUUAGUUAUUUAUAUUAAAUGACGUUUCGCAUUCCCGGGGCGUUUAGUUCGCGUAAAUUAUACGAAAGUGUAUUUUACGAGUUUAKGCGCACCAAGAGCGUACACGCUGGGACCCGAAAGAUGGUGAACUAUGCCUGGUCAGGACGAAGUCAGGGGAAACCCUGAUGGAGGUCCGUAGCGAUUCUGACGUGCAAAUCGAUCGUCGGAACUGGGUAUAGGGGCGAAAGACUAAUCGAACCAUC